UAUAUUUUUUUAGGUUGUAUAAGUAUCGAUUCCAAUUGCCCUAAACCAUUCGUCUCCCGCUAAAAGUAAAAUGGCCCCAAUCACAAAGAGAUCAAUGUACAGCUGAUGAUUUCGGCACAACAAUCCAUCCUUCCGAGCUACGAGAAGUAGGGGUAGGCAAACGGAUCGUGGAGCUGCUGGUCGGUGCUGCUCCAAGCGCGGAAGUAGGGGUAGGCAAACGGAUCGUGGACCUGCUGGUCGGUGCUGGUCCAAGCGGAUCGGGACGGGCCCAAAUAUUUCAAAGAAGAAAAGGGACGGGGCGGGCAGGGCGAGUCCAAAAAUUAGGAGAAACGGGCGGCCGACCCCAAGCUUUUCUACCAUUUUCUGUCAAACGAAUAGACUUACUCAUCUCUGAGUCUCUCGUGAGCGAUCUGUCCAAUUCACCGUCACUCUACUCCGUCUUCAUCUCCCUCUCUUUAGUGACUUGCGACCACCACCAGCAUCGUCUACGGCCAGCGCCUGCUAAUCGAAAUCCAUCAUAUUCACUCCCAUUCACCAAUGGGCUCGUCCUACACACCUUAUGGGCUUUGUUUUCUUUUGUCUAAAAUCUGAUCCAACAGAUAAAACCCAUUUGAUUAAAAGAUCGACAACCCGACUCCGAGUCGAAGAGCACCAAAUUACUUUCUCGGGUUCCGAGAGAGGGAAGAAAGCGUCCAAAUUUAAGUUUACAACCCGGUUCUGCGUCUCAUCGCCGUCUUCUGUGCUCUUUCCCCACUCUUUCAGUAUUGCCUCUGCCUCUGCAAAACCUGUACUGAAGCACUCAUGGGUCUCUCCAAAGAACAGCUGCUUGCCCGUUUAAAGGAGCUACAAGUCGAUUUUCCCCAACAUGAACAUCCUGUUGUUCUGACCGUUGAAGCUCAGGUAAAAGAAGAUAAAUGAAUAUGGGAAUAACUUAUGUAGUCUUUUUGCGCCGAUUAAUUACAUGUUCUGUAGCAAGAUAUGAUUUGUUUUCAUCGGGCCAAAUAUGUUGGAAAUCUGGGAGGUGGACUGAGUGAAAAUUUAUUCUUGACGGUAUCGUAUUCUGACAGUUUGGAAACAGCAUUCACAUCGCGUAAUAUAAAUUCUGCAGCUUGGUUUUUCUUCUACUUUUCAUUAUGCGGCUGAGCAUCUAUAGUUUUUUCUUUUAUAA